rnacentral:tRNA from 1 species
GGGGAUGUAGCUCAGUUGGUAGAGCGCCAGCUUUGCAAGUUGGAUGUCAGGAGUUCGAGCCUCCUCAUCUCCA